rnacentral:tRNA from 1 species
GGAUGCUUAGCUCAGUCGGUAGAGCAGCUGACUCUUAAUCAGCGGGUCGGGGGUUCGAGCCCCCCAGCAUCCA